ensembl:lncRNA
CACACGUUGUCAGCACUGAGCUUCAAUCCCAGCCACUGUGCUGAGGCAGUUGAAUGGAGGGUUGGGAGUCCUGAACUGCUGUCGAAUCGACAAACACAAGGUCACAGAGACAGACUCUGUCAGAGACAGCACUGGCUGUCUUACUGCCUCAAAUCCAUCUUUGCAGAAUCCUGAAAAUAUUAGAAACAAAGAGUUAUGUGAUGAGCCCAAUUACUGGAGGACUGCCUACCAAGUAUAAAUGGCUGUAACUGAAGUCUGAAAGCACUCAGCUGUUAUGGUGGGAUCUGUGUUAAACACACAAAAAAGAAAUCACUGCGAUCUCUCAAGACAGACUGAUUGAUAUCUUAGACUACCUGACAAAUAACACGUUGUCUCAAAGCAAGGCCUUUAAGAUCUUCUACUGAUAAUACUCAUGAUAAUUAAAGGCCAUGGCCACUGUGAUUAGCCUAGAUUCUUUCACACACAAAAAAAUAAAGCCAACUUCUACUGGCUUUUGGUCAGUUAGUACCUCAGUAAGCCAUAGUUCCAAAAGCCUUGUGUCAUGGUGGAAGCUGUCACCUCCCUCUGGGUGACAAUGAAGCACAGGCACAGUUCUACAUGACCUGAUUUGAUAUUACCAGGUGGUAACACACUAACAAAAUCCACAGGACAACUUGAUCUCACAGAUGCAUCUCUGCCUUGAUGGUAUAUAAAUUUAAAGUGAAGGGCAGCACUUCUUAAUUACUUACAUUGUUUAUUUUAAUGUAGCUUACAGCUUUCAUUUUUAAACCAGAAAUGGAAGGACAUAGUUUCUCUCAAGACAGCAGGUUUGUGUUUUUAAAAGAUUUUAAAUUAAUACAUGUAUUUACUCACUGUAGCAGAAAUGCUAAGUAAGUCACAGUCUGAACCAGUGACUGAGCACCCAGUGGGAAGGCAGGGCCAACACAGGGGAGCUCAGGUGCAUGCAAUGUACCUGAGUGAGCAGAAGGGGUGGAGCCAGGAUCCACCCCUUCCCAAACCUCAUUUAAGGGUUGGCAGUGGAGGUAGGGAUUUUUUGCUGGAGAUCCCUGCCUCCCAGAGGUCUUCUGAAGUCGGAUUGAUUCGGUGUCUGAAUACACAUUGUACCAUGAGGAUCCUCUUACCCUGAGCCAAAGUCUGUCAAAGUCAAUUCCAACAGCUGAUGAGGCCCUUCAGGAUAGGUCAGUUUUUUCCUUGAAAUCCCAUCAUGGCAACUUCUGCAUUUGAUGAGUAUUACCAGCACAGAUAGACGCACCAUGGAGGGAAUCCCAGCCACACAGAAAAAAUGUGUACACAGUCAUCACUAUCUUUGGAUUCACCUCUGCAAGAUCUGGAAGAGCACACACUCAGGAAGCAGUUCUUCUUGCCAUGGAUACAGCAUCCCCAUUUGCCAUGGAAAGAGGACUUUGUUGGCUUUUGGACUGGUACCCAAAACUGGCACAUUAGCUCUGCCCCUGCCCACCAUAAUUUCACCUAAUACCCUCUUUACUAAGAUUCAGUCUUCAAGAUGUGUAGCAGUCCUGUCACACCAGUUUUAUGCAUGCAUUUUGAUCUUUCCACAGCAGAGACAAGUGUCUUUAAUGUGUAAAUUCACCUUUGAAAUGUCAAGACCACUUUACCAACUGUUAAAAGUUGUAAUUAAUAUUUGUAAGGGCUAAUAGCUAGCAUGCAUAAUCGAGGACUUAUCAGCUAACAUUUACAUUCUUCCUUCUGUUUGCAUUUUUAGAAAUAAUCAACUAAGACUAUUAUUGACCUGAAAACUGCCUGUCAUUCUGCUACUACAUAAUAGUCACAGAAUACACAUUUCAAAGCCACGGUUUAACAGAAAUACUUAAAACCUGACAACUUAUGAUGAUUCAACAAGAUGAGAAAAAGACAAGGGCUCAAUCUCCAAACCCUGAUCAGUGGGUGAGCAUUUCAUAAGCCUGAGCAAACAGGAGAGAUCAUUGCGAAGAAGUGCUUGAGUUGAUUUGCAUUGCUCUCAAUUAGGGAAGGUAGUCCAGCCAACCACUACUCCAGCAUUACUGACAAGGACAACAAUUUGAUUUCUAGAAGCACUACCUGACUGAAAGAUUCUGUGAUUAGGAACUGCCACUCCUUUUGGACACAAAAGGGGAAUCUUCACCUUGAAGUUCUGGGAUGCAGGUGGACUUGCUAGAUUCUUUCAGGGUCCAGUUCACUACAGUGUCAUCACUGACUUGCUGAGCAUCACCCAGGUCCUUGAAGACAUUCAGCAUGUACCUGAACAGUGGCAGAGAAAACAAGAUUUGGCUCAGAUCCUGGGCUAAGACCCAGCAAGCACACAGCCUGGAGGGAACAUGAACUCAUAGCAACACGCAAAGUCUUCAUGUAGUCUCAGCUCUGCUUUUUUUUUUUUUUUUUAAUUAUUUUAUUUUUCACCCCUUCAGCAAAAAGGAAGAGCCAUCUAUUGUAUCUGUAGUGCAAUUUCUGUUAAAUCAUUUAACCUCUAAUUCCUCUCACUUCGUUUCAUAUUCAGACAUUACUAGUGGACUGGAAAUUAUUCAGCCUGUAAAUACCAAGUUAAAAUAGAAAGAAUAACACUGCUUCUCCCUUGUUUGAGGGGAUUGCACUGGUUGUGCAAAUGCAGGGUGUGGAAAACACUGCCUAGUGGAUGAACUAGGGAGUAUUCUAGGUUACAUGACACUUAUUACUUUGCACAAGAAACUGGUAUUAGGCAGAGAGAAUGGCGUUGAAUCCUCUUGUUGAAGGAAAUAUUGGAUGACUUUAGCUUUGAAGAGCUUUCUUCCCUUGGCUGUAAGUGAGCGAACUAGAAAAAGCCACAGUAAAUCUUUCUAUUGCUGGGGAACAAAUGAGAAACUGUACUACAGAGAGUAUGGAAAAAGAAAAGCAAGCCCUUAUGACCUUAAGAACAUAAUAAAGAUGGUCAGGCCAGAGGAAGUCUGGGCAAAAACAAGGGACUGUGGAAGUUGCCUGUCAUGAUGACUAGUGGGAAGUAGAACAUGCACGAAGAAAAUGAGACAAUAGCUGGAAAUAUGUAGACACUGCUAAGACUAACCUUGAGCCACAUCCUUAUUUAGGGACUAACAACAAUUGAUGUUUAAUAUUCUAGUCCAAUGGCAAUGUUUUCCCUUAUCUUAGAGAAUCUGUUAUUCAUUUGUUUGAAUGCAUGUAAGCAUACAAACCUAAAGACAGGAUUGGGUUUAGCCUCGAGGCUUCUUCACAAGUAUAUGUUCUCAACAGACAGCAAAUGCUAAAGCUAGAAUUGUUUCAGAGUCUGCUUUGACACUUUCCACAUGACUCUUCUAGCAUGUUCCAGUCAUCAAACAACAUAUACAACCUUCAGUCAUCUUCUAAGUGACCUAUUUAGGAGCAAUUUCAGCAUGAAUAUAAAUUCAGUGAAAAUGUAAAUAUGCAUUCAACAGUUGCUGGAUGAAAUGGUGGGUGGUGAGAAGAAAGGGAGUUUCCAUCUGUCUAGCCUUACAGGCACUACCUUCUCUCAGCAUUCAGAAGCACAGUGAGUUAAACUGCUGUAUGCUUGAGCUGGUGGGAUCACCAUCGUCUGCAAUAAAGUACCCAGCUUCCAACUGAAAAACAGAAGAGCAGACUCUCCUUGGCCAGAAGUCAAUGCUGAGAUCUCUGUGCGUACUUCUUCAGCAUGAUGGACAGAUAACAGGAUGAAGACUCCGCAAGAUCAUCAGUUCAACAGUCCCAGCUUGUGAUAAGGCAUGAGGAGUCUGUGCAGUCUCUUACUCAGCAUCUUUCAGUCUAAUGAAGGCUCACGUAAUGGCUGAGAGACAGCCCUCCCUCCUGCCAGGUCAGGAUUUCUGAGAUUCCUGGUACAGCCAAAGGUGGUGAACUGACAGAAAUGCUUUGGAUGCUCUUUACAGGUAUUCAGCACAACAGGAAUUUUCUGAUUUAAGCAAAAGGAAGAGUGGAUCUGCCUUACUGCAAAAGCUCUGCCAAUCAGCAUGGAAAAAGCAGAGUCCAGGAGUAAAUACUAUAAGAAAGCAUGUCGUGGCUUCAUGUACGCAAGACACUUCAGCAAUGCUAUAAUCUAUUGGAGGUGGGCAGGAAAGAGAAAAAUUGUUGUGUUUUUUUUUUCUAAGAUGUCUUCAGUAACUAGAAAUGUACCCUGGAAGGAGUCAUCCUGAUGGACAGUGUGAUGGCUCUUUUGUCACUUAUACUGCAGUUUCAAGUCUGGAAGCAACCGGCUAUCUCUGGUGGUCCUGCGUUCUCGGCUACUGACAGGAUUGGUCAUACAAAUGGCAACAGUACGUCAGAGCUUUGAAAUGGCUCAGUGGCAGCUGAGGCUGAGAAGCAAAACUGCUGUUAUUACUCCUAUGAGAAAGAAUGGAAGAUUGAUUUUAAUGACAACUUUGUCAGUGUUUAGCAAUGCUGUUUUUAAGCAGCUUAAAACAUAAUUUCCAAUUUCAACGACGUUCAGCCUUUCCUUUCCACAAAGGCUUAUAGUAGACCAGUGGUAUGCAACUGGCAUGAGCCAGAGCCAACAGAUGCCUGUAUUAAGGUGGUACCACCUGGGCUGAAGCCCAUGGAAAACUCAAAAUAUUCAUUUAAGAGUUUGCAGUGCUGUUUAUAACCAAACAUGGACAAGUAGUGUAAAUGAAUCUGUAGCGGUGACUCCAAUGGACAGCUGCAGAACUACAGAAAUGGAGCUGGGAGCAGGAUGUAGCUCACAGAGCUAACAGAAUAGUAAAGAGAAAGAAAGAAGACAAAUGGUAAUUAAAAAAAAACUCUGGAGAAUGCUGAUGAACCUGAUUUGACACCACUAGUGCUUCAGGACUAAGGGUAUGAAACAGGACAAUAGAAAAAAAUCCAGCUUUGAAUACUCUUGCUUUACAAUAAGAAAUACCAUUUGGUCUAUAGAUAAGAAGUAGGAAUAAAAAUCUGCCUUAAAACUGCUUGUGAGAAGGAAAAGAAUCGUUUGUUAUUUUAUACCAAUCUGUCCUUUGUUCUAAUGUCUUCAAUACCAGUGCUUAAUUCUCUGAACUCACAUUUGUUCUAAUCUGGUGUAGCAGAAAUGCUAACUCACAGCCUGAAGCAGUGAUUGAGCACCUGGUGGGACGGCAGGGCCAACCCAGGGGAGCUCAGGUG